GACGAAUGCUGGCUGCGUGCUUAACACAUGCAAGUCGAACGGUGAAGGAGGGCUUGCCCUCCGGAUCAGUGGCGAACGGGUGAGUAACACGUGGGCAACCUGCCCCUCACUCUGGGAUAACGCCGGGAAACCGGCGCUAAUACCGGAUACGACCAGAAGCGACAUCUCUUCUGGUGGAAAGAACUUCGGUGAGGGAUGGGCCCGCGGCCUAUCAGCUAGUUGGUGAGGUAACGGCCCACCAAGGCGACGACGGGUAGCCGGCCUGAGAGGGCGACCGGCCACACUGGGACUGAGACACGGCCCAGACUCCUACGGGAGGCAGCAGUGGGGAAUAUUGCGCAAUGGGCGAAAGCCUGACGCAGCGACGCAGCGUGAGGGACGAAGGCCUCGGGUUGUAAACCUCUUUCAGCGGGACGAAGCGAAAGUGACGGUACCCGCAGAAGAAGCACCGGCUAACUAACGUG
rnacentral:rRNA from 1 species